UACGAAGGGGGACUAGCGUUGUUCGGAAUUACUGGGCGUAAAGCGCACGUAGGCGGCUUUGUAAGUUAGAGGUGAAAGCCCGGGGCUCAACUCCGGAAUUGCCUUUAAGACUGCAUCGCUAGAAUUGUGGAGAGGUAAGUGGAAUUCCGAGUGUAGAGGUGAAAUUCGUAGAUAUUCGGAAGAACACCAGUGGCGAAGGCGACUUACUGGACACAUAUUGACGCUGAGGUGCGAAAGCGUGGGGAGCAAACAGG
rnacentral:rRNA from 1 species